rnacentral:tRNA from 1 species
AAAGCUUUAAGUUAAUUAAACUAUUAACCUUCAAAGUUAAUAAUAUGAUUAUUAAUCAUAAGCUUUA